rnacentral:tRNA from 1 species
GGAGGGGUGUGGGUCAGUGGUACAGCAUCUCCUUCACAUGCAGAAGACCCCAGAUUCCAUCCCUGGCAUCUCCA